UAGGGAAUCUUCCGCAAUGGGCGAAAGCCUGACGGAGCAACGCCGCGUGAGUGAUGAAGGUCUUCGGAUCGUAAAACUCUGUUAUUAGGGAAGAACAAAUGUGUAAGUAACUAUGCACGUCUUGACGGUACCUAAUCAGAAAGCCACGGCUAAAUACGUGCCAGCAGCCGCGGUAAUACGUAGGUGGCAAGCGUUAUCCGGAAUUAUUGGGCGUAAAGCGCGCGUAGGCGGUUUUUUAAGUCUGAUGUGAAAGCCCACGGCUCAACCGUGGAGGGUCAUUGGAAACUGGUAAACUUGAGUGCAGAAGAGGAAAGUGGAAUUCCAUGUGUAGCGGUGAAAUGCGCAGAGAUAUGGAGGAACACCAGUGGCGAAGGCGACUUUCUGGUCUGUAACUGACGCUGAUGUGCGAAAGCGUGGGGAUCAAACAGG
rnacentral:rRNA from 1 species